AAGACGUGCUGUGAGGCGGCUUGGGCUGCAGCCAGGCACUGCUGGAGCUGGGUGGGGAGAGACUGCUCUUCCAACACUGUUGUAACCAGUUCCCUGCAUUAAACUCUCCGUGGGAAAUCCUCCAGGUGGUUUCUGCUUUCCUGACUGGAUGUGACUGGGCAAAUAACUCAAAGUAACCACAGCCCGAGGGCACUGUGAGCUUGAGCGAUGAGGAACGCUCCCUCCUCCUUUGCUUCUGAGCCUCUUAAGAUGUAAGCACAGAGCUUAAGGGGCCAGUUGCAGCCUCAGGAGAGAUGCUGACCAGAGAAUGGAUCUGAUAUGCAGAAAAGAGCAGCCUAACAAAGGAAGGAAAUCCUGAUGGCGUUUGAGGUCCUGGCUCUGGCUCAAUCUCUGUUCUGAGUUUGGCAUCGAAUGUCAAUAAAUUCCUUUUGCUCAA